rnacentral:rRNA from 1 species
GCGCAAGUCGAGAAACCUUCGCAAUGCGGGAAACCGCGACGAGGGGACUCCCAGUGCCUACGCUCAGCGUAGGCUGUUCCCGAGCCUAGAAAGCUCGGGGAGUAAGGGCUGGGUAAGACGGGUGCCAGCCGCCGCGGUAAUACCCGCAGCCCGAGUGGUGGCCACUAUUAUUGGGCCUAAGGCGUCCGUAGCCGGCCCGGUAAAUGCCUGGGUAAAUCGUGAGGCCUAACCUCACGAAUUCCGGGUAGACUGCCGGGCUAGGGACCGGAGGAGGGAGAGGGUACUCCAGGGGUAGGGGUGAAAUCCUGUAAUCCCUGGAGGACCACCGGUGGCGAAGGCGCUCUCCUAGGACGGGUCCGACGGUGAGGGACGAAAGCCAGGGGAGCGAACCGGAUUAGAUACCCCUGUAGU